rnacentral:rRNA from 1 species
AACCAGCUCUUCAAGUGGUCGGGAUAAUUAUUGGGCUUAAAGUGUCCGUAGCCGGUUUAGUAAGUUCCUGGUAAAAUCGGGUAGCUUAACUAUCUGCAUGCUAGGAAUACUGCUAUACUAGAGGGCGGGAGAGGUCUGAGGUACUACAGGGGGUAGGGGUGAAAUCUUAUAAUCCUUGUAGGACCACCAGUGGCGAAGGCGUCAGACUGGAACGCGCCUGACGGUGAGGUACGAAAGCCAGGGGAGCGAACCGGAUUAGAUACCCGGGUAGUCCUGGCCGUAAACGAUGCAUACUAGGUGAUGGCACGGCCAUGAGCCAUGUCAGUGCCGUAGGGAAACCGUUAAGUGUGCCGCCUGGGAAGUACGGUCGCAAGGCUAAAACUUAAAGGAAUUGGCGGGGGAGCACCGACAAGGGGUGAAGCCUGCGGUUU